UUGUCGUCCGCCCCAGGCGGAGUGGGACGUUUUUGUGGUGUUUGAAGUAGUUGCGUGCUUGGUGCUUCUUGCAGUAUCCAAGCUUGAGGAGCGUUUAGUGGUGUAUACUGCACGAAUUUGGGACCCCUCGGCCCUUCCCUGCUUUUCGGCCCCCCGACCAACCAACCUAUCUGUCAGUCUUUCUACCAUCGGAUUUAUCACCUUUGGUCUCCUACAUCUCCUUUCUAUAACUUUGUUUCAUCUCUUCUACUCGAAUCUCAUUGGCCGCCCGCUCUGGCAAUUCCUCCAUGGUUUUGGGCGGCGUACGACAAAUAUUGUCCUUAAAGGGAC
rnacentral:lncRNA from 1 species